GAAGAAGAAAAUAACAACUCAAAACAAAACUUUUAUUUUGCUCAUAUAUAUAUAUACACACACACACACACACACAUGUAGAUAAUGUUAUUCAAUUCGUCUUGGUCUCAUAUAAGUAAAUAUACAUUGAAGGGUAUGUAUAUAUAUAUAUAUAUAUAUAUGUAUGUGAGAUAAAUAAUUUUUUAAGUAAAAAAGAAAAGAAAAGGAGACAGGAUCUUAUCAUAAUCGUUUGGGUUGAUUGUAAUAGACAAGAGGCAGAGAGACACGCACGCAGUCACACGUGUGCAACAGUGCAUGAGAUCUGGAGACAUGGAGGAGUGGGUGGUGGAGAUUGCUGCUCUCGCACAAAUAUUUUUUUUUUUACUUUUUAUUUAUUAAAUUAAUAAAAGUAAAAGCGAGAUGUUUGACCAAAAAGUCAAAAGAAAUACGUGCAAGUACGUAAAAUACGCAGAGUUGGACUCGGUCAACCCCACGAAAAUAUGUCCUGGAGUACUAAAACUCCCGAGGACGCUUUUGGAAAAAUAAGCUGUAGGGAUUUGAUCAACCCGUAACAUAUACAUACAUACAUACAUACAUACAUACAUACAUACACAUAUGCAUACACAUGCAUGCAUGUUUUAAUUGGGUAAGGAUGAAAUUUACCCAAUAAAUAUAUUAAAUGCAAAAGAAUUACUGCUCAACUAAUGGAACGUUAUGUAUUUAAUAUGUUAGUGGGUCGGAAAUAUUAAUUGUAGUAAUUAGUAAAUCCCACCAAACCGAGCUUCCUUGGAAUCUCGGAUCGCGCCGUGUUAUCCUGAACAUGGAUAGCGCUUUUAUUGUUCAAUCUUUUGAACAAGAUAAUCAAUAACAAGACGGUGGAUACAAAUGCUAAUUCUAACUUUUUGCUUGCAAUUAAAAUUUUACUCGUAAAUUAUUGAAUUGUUAGGUACAACAUAUACGUCGAAGGACAAUAAAGGUACUGGACGGGUUCAUGGGAGGCCACUCUUUACUGCACCCACUUCCUAAACUUCUGAGUAUUUCUCGUAAGGACAUUUUUGGUAUUUUAUGUUCACGACUGUAUAAUAAACGUAAUAUUUAUGUCUGAUUAUUUUCGUUAGUUAUAUUGAUUGUUUUUUCUUGUAUUUAAAAAAAAAAUACCUUUUAUUACAAAGCUUUAUUAAUUAAUAACUAUAUUAAUUGUAGUAAUUAGUAACCGCACCAGACCUAGCUUGCUUGGAAUCUCGAAUCGUACCGUGUUAUCUUAAAGAUGGAUAGCGUUUUUAUUGUUCAACAUUUUGAAUAAAAUAAUCAAUAACGAGACGGUGGACACAAAUAUUAAUUCUAACUUCCUGCUUGCAAUUAGAACUUUGCUCGUAAAAUAUUGAAUUGUUAUGGUACAAUAUAUACGUCGAAGGGCAAUAAAGGUACUGACUAUCUGGUAAACCUGACUUACGACGGGUUCAUGGGAUGCCACUUUUUAUUGCACCCACUUCCUAAACUUGUAAGUAUUUCUCGUAAGGAUAUCUUUUGUAUUUUAUGUUCACGACUGUAUAAUAAACGUAAUAUUCAUGUUUGAUUAUUUUCGUUAGUUAUAUUGAUUGUUUUUUCUUGUAUUUAAAAAAAAUACCCUUUAUUACAAAGCUUUAUUAAUUAAUAACUAUAUUAAUUGUAGUAAUUAGUAACCACACCAGGCCGAGCUUGCUUGGAAUCUCGAAUCGUGUCGUGUUAUCUUAAAGAUGGAUAGUGCUUUUAUUGUUCAACAUUUUGAAUAAAAUAAUCAAUAACGAAACGGUGGACACAAAUAUUAAUUCUAACUUCCUGCUUGCAAUUAGAACUUUGCUCGUAAAAUAUUGAAUUGUUAGGAUACAACAUAUACGUCGAAGGACAAUAAAGGUAUUGACUAUCUAGUAAACUUGACUUACCCCGGGUUCAUGGGAGGCCACUCUUUACUGCAAUCACUUCCUAAACUUCUGAGCAUUUCUCGUA
rnacentral:lncRNA from 1 species